GGCGCUCACAGUUCAAUUGAAUCCAAUUGACCAAGUGCGUGGCUCUUGUCAAGCAAAUGUAUUUGCUUACGUAUACUUAAUUUACGAGGCGUAUACGUAAUGCAACGCCCACCAAUGCACCGGUUGUGAGUAGUGGAAGUUUAGCCAGCCGGGGAUUGGGAACGGAAUGGAAAUGCUAAUUGAACCCAUUUAGAGAGCUCUCCUCUUCUGGCCGACUGCAUUAUAUUUGAUUGCUCUUUAGCCGCUUACCUUUGACUUUGUCUCUUGGCAAUUGCUGCAGCUGCGACGCAGUUGGCGAUGUGGUGAUGGUGAUGAUCCAACUCUACCGCUUACCCGGCUUCUCGACCGAUUUCAUCACCGAUUCCGAUCUGAUAACAUUACGUGUAAGUGCAGCUAAAAGCAUUCUACAGAGGCGACGAGAAUCCGGGCAUUAGUCCAAAGUAUGAGGGAAUUUCACACUCAUGAUCUUCCCUUGCUAAUUCUUAUUAUUUAAAUUAACGGCUGCUUUCCGGGAAGUAUAAGAACUAAAGAUGCGUAUUUAUCGGACUCUUUGAAUGCCCACGCAGAUACAUUUUCUUUAUAAUUUCAGAUACGCCCACAAUCAACCCGAAAAUAACAAAACAACAGCGAAGCCCAAUUGUUAUAAUCAUUGGAAAAUAUUUUGGGAUUACAAGAUACUGAAAAUUGACUUUUCUAUGGACCUAAAAGUAGGCAAUGUAUUUCUAAAUGUGA